GAUGAACGCUGGCGGCGUGCCUAACACAUGCAAGUCGAGCGGAGAAUUGUUGCUUGCAACAAUUCUUAGCGGCGGACGGGUGAGUAACACGUGGGUAACCUGCCCUAAACAAAGGGAUAACAAUGAGAAAUCAUUGCUAAUACCGUAUAAGCUUACACUAUCGCAUGAUAGAGUAAGAAAAGAUUUAUCGGUUUAGGAGGGGCCCGCGUCUGAUUAGCUAGUUGGAGAGGUAACGUCUCACCAAGGCGACGAUCAGUAGCCGACCUGAGAGGGUGAUCGGCCACAUUGGGACUGAGACACGGCCCAAACUCCUACGGGAGGCAGCAGUGGGGAAUAUUGCACAAUGGAGGAAACUCUGAUGCAGCAACGCCGCGUGAAGGAAGAAGGUUUUCGGAUCGUAAACUUCUAUCUACAGGGAAGAAAAAAAUGACGGUACCUGAGGAAGAAGCCCCGGCUAACUACGUG
rnacentral:rRNA from 1 species